CACGUAGGGGGCAAGCGUUGUCCGGAUUUAUUGGGCGUAAAGAGCUCGUAGGUGGCUCAGUAAGUCGGGUGUGAAACCUCCAGGCUCAACCUGGAGACGCCACCCGAUACUGCUGUGGCUAGAGUCCAGUAGGGGAGCAUGGAAUUCCUGGUGUAGCGGUGAAAUGCGCAGAUAUCAGGAGGAACACCAGUGGCGAAGGCGGUGCUCUGGGCUGGAACUGACACUGAGGAGCGAAAGCGUGGGGA
rnacentral:rRNA from 1 species